UACGUAGGGUGCGAGCGUUAAUCGGAAUUACUGGGCGUAAAGCGUGCGUAGGCGGUCCGCAAAGUCUGAUGUGAAAGCCCCGGGCUCAACCUGGGAACUGCAUUGGAAACUAACGGGCUCGAGUGUGGCAGAGGGGGGUGGAAUUCCACGUGUAGCAGUGAAAUGCGUAGAGAUGUGGAGGAACACCGAUGGCGAAGGCAGCCCCCUGGGCUAACACUGACGCUCAGGCACGAAAGCAUGGGGAGCGAACAGG
rnacentral:rRNA from 1 species